GAUAGAAUGUUACUGGAGUCCUCUGUCGGAGCCCGCGCCCUGACAGCUCAAACGGUCAGCCAAGAGCCAAGCAGCAGUGAAAAGCUGAGAAGAGUUAUUUGGUGUGGCCACUUUGGAGAGAGAAACCAGGAAAGAGGCUCACAAGUGGUCCUGGAAUGAAGCUCAAGUUUAAAAAAGGGCAAGAGGUACGCAUGGCUAAGCCGUCCUGACCAGUGGUUCUGUCUGCCACUGCCCGGCGAGUUUGGACUCCAGUCUGUCCUGCACGGUGGUCUGAGGAGCUGUCAGAACUGUCUGGCUCUUUUCUGGGGAGACAAGUUCCUCUUCUGGCCAGAGCCAGAGCCUUCCCUGAAUAAGUACCAGAACUCCAGCCUUUUCUCCCCCAAUUUCGGGUGAUGCUGAUGAAGGCUAGCCUGACAGUUCUAAAUGCAUUGCCCCAGAAUUGCACCCCAAUAGUCUGGAUUAGAGAGGGGCUCCUUCCUCUGAGCUUCAGUUUCCUCAUUUAUGACAUGAAGGUAAUGUCAAAUGUGUCCAAUCAAAGGCUUCAAUAUGUUUAAAAUAAACAUGGAAACCAAGUUUGGUGGCACAUAUCUGUAACCCCAGCACUCAGGAAGCUGAGGCAGGAGGAUCAGAAGUUUGAGACUAGCCUGGGCUACAUAUGGAGAACUUGCCUAAAAAAAAAAGAAAACUUAUAGGGAUGGAGAGAUGGCUCAGCAGUUAUUAUUAACUGGGAUAUGUGCAGGUAAAACACCCACCCUCAUACAACAACAUACACAUGCUUGUGCGCGUACACACACACACACACACACACAUCUCUGUAAGUCUGGGCCUAGUGCCCAAGAAGCAGAGGUAGGUAGAUCUUAUGAGUUUGAAGCCAGUCAGGGCUAAAUACCCCAAACCUCUGAGAAGUAGCAAUAAUUGUUUUGUUUUUGACACAGGGUCUUAUUAUGUAGACCAGACCUGUCUCUGCGUCCCAAAUGUUGGGAUUAAAGGUGUGUGUCUCCAUGCCUGGCCAAUAGUAGUCCAAAAAAACUAAUGAGAUAAGAAUACAAAUGACCAAGCGUGAAGGUAGAAAGUCCCACACUUUAACAACCAGACCAUGAGUCCUUGGGUCUGAUAACCCACAACGCUGUACACAAACAUCCACAGCCCCAACUCCUAAUGGCUUGUUUGGAAAUAGUGGUGCUCUAAGCUUUCCUAAAGUCAGCCUCAGGGGCAGCUAAUGACCCUGCACAAACAGCUGCUGGGAUCCUGGGUCACGCCAUGUCUUCUCUGGGAGAGCAGGGCUGUCACUGUACGUCUGUGACAGGCCAGCCACCAGCAGCUCCUGGGUCAUGCCAUGUCUUCUCUGGGAGAGCGCGGCUGUCACUGCUUGGCUGUGCCUUGAACAGAUCUCCUCUUUGGCCUUUUUCUCUUUGGUAAUUCAUAGUCUCCGAGUACCUAGCCUGUCGCUGUCAUCAGUGUGCAGCCUCUGAUGCUAACAAGGAUUAAAGCAUGAACCCCAGCAGGCACUGGAAGGAUUCACACCUGAUCUGAGGGAUCAGAGGCAGUCUUGAUGGCGGCUGGAGGGUGUGAAGGGUACAGUGUCCCUUAAGAAACAAUAAUGCUUCUCUCUCAUCCCCACUAGGUGACCAUCUGCCCAGCCUGGAGAAAAGUCACAGUAUAGUGUCCUAUAAAGACUGCGUGUCUUGAAGUGUGGUCAUACUGUCCUAUGAAGAUCGCGUGUCCAGAAGUGUGGCCACAGUGUCCUAUGAAGAUUAUGUGUCCAGAAGUGUGGUCACAUUGUCCUAUGAAGACUGAGUGUCUGGAAGUGUGGUCACAUUGUCCUAUGAAGAUUGAGUGUCUGGAAGUGUGGUCACACUGUCCUAUGAAGAGUGUGUGUCUGGAAGUGUGGUCACACUGUCCUAUGAAGAGUGUGUGUCUGGAAGUGUGGUCACACUGUCCUAUGAAGACUGCAUGUCUGGAAGUGUGGACACACUGGUGCAGGUUAAGCUCAGGAAUCCUCUAGAAGGAGCUGAUCCUGUAUACAGCUGUACAAAGAUCUACAGCAUCCACAGCCUCUCCCCGCUUCCUCCUUUUUUCUCUUAUAAUUUUUAAAAUAGUAAGCGUAUGUUAUUUUUAAAUAAUGGAGAAAGUAGGAACGCCUCACAGGGUUCUCUAUCACAGUCCCUCCCAGACGCCAGGUGUCUAGUCCUAAAAGAACCCUAUGCCUGUUGCUUCCUGAGACCAUCAGCACUGGGCAGCUCGUCAGUGAGCCCUCCUAUUCAGCUAAGGUCCCCUCUUUCACUUGGAGAGCCGUGGCUGAGUUCCCAGGUCUAUCCUUCACCCAGGCCUCUCAUUUCUCCCUGUAAGAUCCUUCCUCGUGGGAGACACUUCAAAACAAGCCAUUCAUCAUUGUCCUUUGAGACAGAGUCACCAGGUAAUCUGGUCUUGAACUUGGCAAUCUUCCGGUUUUGUUGGGCGGGAUUGCGGACUCCUCCAGUGUCUGCCUGUCUGUCACAAAACUUUAGCUUUCCUUUCAAAGAAGGCCAAAUGUGAGCCUGGGCUGGAUUCUUAAGGACUGGGCCUCUCCCUUCUGAUAGUCCUUCCUUUCUCCAGGUACAGUCUGCAGGAUGCUCUCAAAAUAAGACCCCCUAGCCCUCUAUUUCUCUGUGCUAAUGAAAGGUAAAUAAAUACGUCUGAUAAGAAGACUGGGAACCCUGGCAACUGAAACCAAAGCAAACCAAACACUGUCGCAAUCUCGGCAGAGAUCUACGGAUCUGCCUGGCAGUAGUCAUAAGCUGGGAACAGGGGCCAAAACUGGAUGGUGUGGCCCACCGCGCUAGAAGGCUGAAUUUACACACACACACACACACACACACACACACACACACACACACACCCUGAAGUCACCCAGAGGAAGGAAGAGGAGGGGUGCAGCGUACAGCAGCUGCCUCAGAACGGUGCUCCGGAGGCACUGGGCUUUACCAUCCAGUCCCCACACAAGGCUACAGCCAAUGUGCACCCGCAUAGGGAGUAAGGACAGAGCCAUUGAUGACACCGCAGUGACAACUGUACUGGAGUCACCUAAGGAUGCAUUUCUCAUCGUGAGCCUGUCUUGUCAGCAGAAAUUCCACACCCCCACUGCCAACUUGACCGGAUUUGGAAUCACCGAGAUACCACACCUGUGUGUCCAUCAGUCCAAGUGUAUUGUAUGCCCAUGUGGAGGCCAGAGAUUAGUGUUGUGUCUUCCUCAAUCACUCCACCUUAUUAUUUGAGACGGGGCCUCUCACUGGAUGACCCUGGGGCUCUCCAAUUCCAGCUAGCCUGAAGAAUCCUCCUGUUUCUGCCUGGUUUAUACAGUGUUUGGCUUUUAUGUGGGCACUAGGAUUUGAACUCAGGUCCUCAUGCCUGUGCAGCAGGAGACUAAAAACAUUCACCUAAGGAAUCUGGAGACCACUGGACAAAUGAGACAUCUAAAGGAGAAGGACAAACUGUUAAGAGAAAAUAUCCCAAGAAAAAGAGUAAAUUGGCCUAGUGGCAUAGCACACCCCAACAAGAUGUUUGCGGCACAGCUGCUAGCUCCAAAGAGACGGUUGUUGGUCCCCGGGGCAGGCUGGGGGAGCCGCCAUGCGACAAAAGGCUACAGUUUCCCACCAGCAGGAGGGCACGCGCUGCGAGGGCUGUGGCAGCUGUAACAGACACAUAAACACAAAAGAUAGGCAUAAAGAGAGACAUGUCUGCUCUUGGCAGCAUAUCUACUUCAGAGAAGAUGAUGGGCCUUGAAGAACCUUCACAUGGAGUUUUCUUUCAUUAUGGCAAAGUGAGCCACUGGGCAAGAAACUGCCCUUGCCUCCACUGCUGACAGUAUGCUGUCCAAACUGGACAAACAAGACACAGAAGGCAACUGCCAAACAAUCCUUCAAAAAUUCCUGCUUUACAGGAGAGCCCUUCAGCUAUGCUAGGCCUGUAAACUGAAGAUGGAUGCUCCAACAUUGCAGAGGAACACUGGGUGACUGUCCAGGCAGCCAGAUGUCUCCAUCAUUUCUGUAGUUUUGGAAGCUGUUUGCUCUGCCUUUCCUGAUUACUCAGGCAGUCUUUUGUCCUUCUCAGGUCUCUGAUGGAAUUGAAGACUAGCUAUUUGAGUUUUACCAUUUUCUCUGUUACCAAACUAAAAAAAAGAAACUUACAAAAGAGAUGCAAAGUUUAUAGAGGUCGAGAGGCAUAAAAGUUUACGUUGUUUAUUUAAUAAAAUAUUUUAAGGUCUAAAAUGAUAUUUUAGGCUGAUAAUAGAAGAUAUGAUAGAAAGUGGUUUAAAUAGAAAAUUUGGAUUCAUCAACAUAAAAUAGAUAUUAGAGUAUUUUCUCUAAAUUUGCCAAAUACAAAUGGACUGGACAUUGUGAAUGUCAUUCUUUGUUUUGUUUUUCAAGUAGGGUUUCUCUGUGUAACAGUCCUAGCAGUCCUAGAACUAGCUCUUGUAGACCAGGCUGGCUUCAAACUCACAGAGAUUCACAUGCCUCUACUUCCCGAGUGCUGGGAUUAAAAGCAUGCACCAUCACUGCCCCAUGUGAAUGUAAUUCUUGCCUGAUAAUUGUUCUUGUUGUAUAUAGUUUUUACUGUGUUAGAGUGUUGGAGCCAAAAAAAAAUGGUUCCCUUUCACCUUGAUCAAAGGUCAGAGAGUUCAGGCCUAUUCUUGCUCCUUCAAGGUUAUGACAGGAGGUUUGUCCCAGGGUGUGGCUGCCUAUGGGGUGUGGUUGCUGCAUGUCCUACCUAAACAACAGAAUACUAAACUCAGGAUGUAGUUACUUGAUGCUUUGGGUAUUGAAGAGGUAAUUACUCUGUUUGUUCUUUGUAUCAUGGUAAAGCCGUCUUUUGCCUUCUUCCUCUGUUUUGGAUUGGAGUAUAUAAAGCAUAUAAAAAAUAAACAUGGGUGGAUUCAGCAUUCACUGAG